rnacentral:rRNA from 1 species
CACCGCGGUUAUACGAGAGGCCCAAGUUGACAGAUACUCGGCGUAAAGAGUGGUUAAAAUAAUAAUUUAACUAAAGCCGAACUCUUUCAAAACUGUUAUACGUGUUCGAAAGAAGAAGCUCAGUAACGAAGGUAGCUUUAACAUUUUGAAGCCACGAAAGCUGAGGAA